AUUGAACGCUGGCGGCAGGCCUAACACAUGCAAGUCGAGCGGAUGAAGGGAGCUUGCUCCUGGAUUCAGCGGCGGACGGGUGAGUAAUGCCUAGGAAUCUGCCUGGUCGUGGGGGAUAACGUCCGGAAACGGGCGCUAAUACCGCAUACGUCCUGAGGGAGAAAGUGGGGGAUCUUCGGACCUCACGCUAUCAGAUGAGCCUAGGUCGGAUUAGCUAGUUGGUGGGGUAAAGGCCUACCAAGGCGACGAUCCGUAACUGGUCUGAGAGGAUGAUCAGGCACACUGGAACUGAGACACGGUCCAGACUCCUACGGGAGGCAGCAGAGGGGAAUAUUGGACAAUGGGCGAAAGCCUGAUCCAGCCAUGCCGCGUGUGUGAAGAAGGUCUUCGGAUUGUAAAGCACUUUAAGUUGGGAGGAAGGGCAGUAAGUUAAUACCUUGCUGUUUUGACGUUACCAACAGAAUAAGCACCGGCUAACUUCGUG
rnacentral:rRNA from 1 species